UUAGCCAGAGUCAGGAUAGGUUAAGAAAUGCUGCCUUAGUGGUACAUCGUCGCCCUCCAUUUAUUCCAGGAUGCGAGGGUGUAGUAGUGAGCUGCGAGGGAAAAAACGAUUCAUGGAAGGAUGUCGUGAAUCCUCAUAAGUAAUUGUUUAGGUUAGGUUAAGUUUAAGAAUGAGAUACUUAAUGGUAAACGACUCAUAAAGGAAAGGCUGUUAAGACUAGGAUAGAUGAAGUUAAGAGAGAUUAGGCUUGAGGUAUUGAUGUGCGAGGGAGAAGAUGACUCAUGGAGAAUGUCGUCAUGAAUAGUCGUCAGUGAUGUAUGUGAAGGAAAGCACGAGAAACGUCCACUCAGUACCGAACCAUCAAAACAUCCGACUCUGGGUUCAUUUUGAGACAACAAAGCUCCGACCCGUGUUUCGAGACAUGGUGACGAGAAACCUGGCUAUCGUAUGCGUACUAGCUUCCUCCUCCUCCUCCUCGUAAAGCACACUCGACAGGUGUUUCCAGUACUCGUUACCUGAGUGGCCGGGAAAGGUGCCUCCAGUAAAGCAAGGCAGGGAAACCGCCUGGCACUCCGCGGCCCAGUGUGAGGAAUGCUGUCACCGUGUUCCGUGCGUGUCGUGAAGGCGAGCACGAGGAAAGGAGUGGCGGAGACAAGGAACCCUCUCCUCUUUAUUCUUAUUCCAACAGCGAGACAAGGCGUGACAUCUCUUGGUUCUCCACUCUUAAAAGAUGCCCCGUGUGUGCUGAGUUUUUGUGUUUGGCCAUCUUCAGGAAUACAAAGUGGUCCACAAACAUGUACAAUGCAAUGAACCUCUUCACAACUGGAAUCCAGACAUCUGGAAUUCAGGGCAAGACUGGCUGGCCAUUUGCUGCAAUACUUGGCAACUCAUCACCACAUUCUAGGAAGCACCGUAUACACAUACAGGCAGCAAUCAUCUCGAUGGUUACCGGCAGAGAGCACGGUUCAUUUCGUUGGAAGGUGCAGUAACGGUGAAGAAACGUCAAAGAUCUGAAGCAACACAAUAAAGGCAGCAAAUCUGCAGCAUCACCUGUAAGACCAAUAUAGCAGCCUUCCUUGAGGUAUGCAGCAGCCUGGGAAGCAUCUCCAGUGAAACAGUGGAUCACAACAGGAGGAAGGCGAUCCUUGUACUUCCUAAGCACCUCCAGUACCUCAGUGUGGGCAUCUCGUUCGUGUAUAAAGAGGGGCUUCUUCAGGCUGCAGGCUAGAGAGACCUGAAAAUAUUCAAGACUAAAAACUCCACUCAACUUUUAACAAAUUCAUAAUACUUACCAUUCCCACAAUUUUGUCUGAUGUCAUGAAGACUGCUCUUUACCUCCUCCAUAAUAUGAUGUUAUAUUUUUAUAAAAUAAAAUAUUGCCUACAUUUUUUUGUUACUGUGAAAUGGUAGGUGUAAAACACACAAAACAAUGAUCCUAGGUCCUGGUUGUGAAAGUUUUUGAGAGCACUUAAAUAUA